AUUGAACGCUGGCGGCAUGCCUUACACAUGCAAGUCGAACGGCAGCGGACCUUCGGGUGCCGGCGAGUGGCGAACGGGUGAGUAAUAUAUCGGAACGUACCUUUCAGUGGGGGAUAACGUAGCGAAAGUUACGCUAAUACCGCAUAUUCUGUGAGCAGGAAAGCAGGGGAUCGCAAGACCUUGCGCUGAUUGAGCGGCCGAUAUCAGAUUAGCUAGUUGGUGAGGUAAAGGCUCACCAAGGCGACGAUCUGUAGCGGGUCUGAGAGGAUGAUCCGCCACACUGGAACUGAGACACGGUCCAGACUCCUACGGGAGGCAGCAGUGGGGAAUUUUGGACAAUGGGCGCAAGCCUGAUCCAGCCAUGCCGCGUGAGUGAAGAAGGCCCUCGGGUUGUAAAGCUCUUUCGGCCGGGAAGAAAUCGCACAGGUUAAUACCCUGUGUGGAUGACGGUACCGGAAUAAGAAGCACCGGCUAACUACGUGCCAG
rnacentral:rRNA from 1 species